GAUGAACGCUGGCGGCGUGCCUAAUACAUGCAAGUCGAGCGAACAGACGAGGAGCUUGCUCCUCUGACGUUAGCGGCGGACGGGUGAGUAACACGUGGAUAACCUACCUAUAAGACUGGGAUAACUUCGGGAAACCGGCGCUAAUACCGGAUAAUAUAUUGAACCGCAUGGUUCAAUAGUGAAAGACGGUUUUGCUGUCACUUAUAGCUGGAUCCGCGCUGCAUUAGCUAGUUGGUAAGGUAACGGCUUACCACGGCAACGAUGCGUAGCCGACGUGAGAGGGUGAUCGGCCACACUGGAACUGAGACACGGUCCAGACUCCUACGGGAGGCAGCAGUAGGGAAUCGUCCGCAAUGGGCGAAAGCUUGGCGGAGCAACGCGGCGUGAGUGAUGAAGGUCUUCGGAUCGUAAAACUCUGUUAUUAGGGAAGAACAAAUGUGUAAGUAACUAUGCACGUCUUGACGGUACCUAAUCAGAAAGCCACGGCUAACUACGUG
rnacentral:rRNA from 1 species